GUACACGCUGUGACUAGCAUAUCAAUAAGCGGAGGAAAAGAAACUAACAAGGAUUCCCCUAGUAACGGCGAGUGAAGCGGGAAGAGCUCAAAUUUGAAAUCUUAAAGGGUUUCCCUUUACGAAUUGUAGUUUAAAGAAGUGUUUUCUGUUGAGGUUUUGGUAAAAGUUCUUUGGAAUAGGACAUCAUAGAGGGUGAGAAUCCCGUAUUUGACCUUUACUUUCAACUUUGUGAUACACUAUCAAAGAGUCGGAUUGUUUGGGAAUGCAGUCCAAAAUGAGUGGUAAAUUUCAUCUAAAGCUAAAUAUUGGCGAGAGACCGAUAGCGAACAAGUACCGUGAGGGAAAGAUGAAAAGAACUUUGAAAAGAGAGUUAAACAGUACGUGAAAUUGUCAAAAGGGAAGCGUUUGACACCAGUGUUGUUUUUCUGAAAAUCAAUUAAAGAACUGUUUAUGCUAAGUUGUUUAGACUUUAUCAGCUAACUGUUUAGUUUUGAGCUUUUCUUUAAUGCACUUUUCAGUUAACAAGUCAACAUCAAUUUCUUUUGCUGUAAAAAAGCUUGAGGAAGGUGGCUAGAGAUUCGUCUUAAGUGUUUAUAGCCUCUUGCCUAUGCAGUCGGAGAGAUUGAGGUCUGCAGCGUAGAUCCUUCGGGGCUAAAUGCAUUUGUGCUAAGUUAUAGCAUUUUCAUAGACAACUUGUUGACUAUGAUUUGUCUUGUAGCUUACUCGCUUAUGUUAUUUUACCUACGCUUAGGAUGUUGACAGCAGUAUAGACUGU
rnacentral:rRNA from 1 species